rnacentral:rRNA from 1 species
GAUUGCAGGCUGCAACCCGCCUGUAUGAAGUUGGAAUCGCUAGUAAUCGCGGAUCAGCAUGCCGCGGUGAAUACGUUCCCGGGCCUUGUACACACCGCCCGUCACACCAUGAGAGUCGGGAACACCCGAAGUCCGUAGUCUAACCGCAAGGAGGACGCCGCCGAAGGUGGGGUUGAUGAUUAGGGUUAAGUCGUAACAAGGUAGC